rnacentral:tRNA from 1 species
GCCGGGGUCGCCUAAUCUGGUAGGGCGCAGGCCUGGAAAGCCUGUCUCGCGAAAGCGGGAUGUGGGUUCAAAUCCCACUCCCGGCGCCA